rnacentral:tRNA from 1 species
GUCAGGUUGGCCGAGCGGUCGAAGGCGCCAGACUUAAGAGAUUGACGAGUCUUCUGGUCCACAUUUGUGGGCGUGGGUUCGAAUCCCACACCUGACA